rnacentral:rRNA from 1 species
AUUGAACGCUGGCGGCAGGCUUAACACAUGCAAGUCGAGCGGAGACUUCGGUCUUAGCGGCGAACGGGUGAGUAAUACCUAGGAAUCUGCCUAUUAGUGGGGGAUAACGAAUCGAAAGGUUCGCUAAUACCGCAUACGUCCUACGGGAGAAAGGGGGGGAUCUUCGGACCUCUCGCUAAUAGAUGAGCCUAGGCCGGAUUAGCUAGUUGGUAGGGUAAAGGCCUACCAAGGCGACGAUCUGUAGCUGGUCUGAGAGGAUGGCCAGCCACACUGGAACUGAGACACGGUCCAGACUCCUACGGGAGGCAGCAGUGGGGAGUAUUGGACAAUGGGGGCAACCCUGAUCCAGCCAUGCCGCGUGUGUGAAGAAGGCCUCGGUUGUAAG